rnacentral:rRNA from 1 species
GGGGAAUAUUGCACAAUGGGGGAAACCCUGAUGCAGCGACGCCGCGUGGAGGAAGAAGGUCUUCGGAUUGUAAACUCCUGUUGUUGAGGAAGAUAAUGACGGUACUCAACAAGAAAGCACCGGCUAACUACGUGCCAGCAGCCGCGGUAAAACGUAGGGUGCAAGCGUUGUCCGGAAUUACUGGGUGUAAAGGGAGCGCAGGCGGACCGGCAAGUUGGAAGUGAAAUCCAUGGGCUCAACCCGUGAAUUGCUUUCAAAACUGCUGGCCUUGAGUAGUGCAGAGGUAGGUGGAAUUCCCGGUGUAGCGGUGGAAUGCGUAGAUAUCGGGAGGAACACCAGUGGCGAAGGCGACCUACUGGGCACCAACUGACGCUGAGGCUCGAAAGCAUGGGUAGCAAACAGGAUUAGAUACCCUGGUAGUCCAUGCCGUAAACGAUGAUUACUAGGUGUUGGAGGAUUGACCCCUUCAGUGCCGCAGUUAACACAAUAAGUAAUCCACCUGGGGAGUACGACCGCAAGGUUGAAACUCAAAGGAAUUGACGGGGGCCCGCACAAGCAGUGGAGUAUGUGGUUUAAUUCGAAGCAACGCGAAGAACCUUACCAGGUCUUGACAUCCGAUGCAUAGUGCAGAGAUGCAUGAAGUCCUUCGGGACAUCGAGACAGGUGGUGCAUGGUUGUCGUCAGCUCGUGUCGUGAGAUGUUGGGUUAAGUCCCGCAACGAGCGCAACCCUUAUUGCCAGUUACUACGCAAGAGGACUCUGGCGAGACUGCCGUUGACAAAACGGAGGAAGGUGGGGAUGACGUCAAAUCAUCAUGCCCUUUAUGACCUGGGCUACACACGUACUACAAUGGCGUUUAACAAAGAGAAGCAAGACCGCGAGGUGGAGCAAAACUCAGAAACAACGUCUCAGUUCAGAUUGCAGGCUGCAACUCGCCUGCAUGAAGUCGGAAUUGCUAGUAAUCGCGGAUCAGCAUGCCGCGGUGAAUACGUUCCCG